rnacentral:rRNA from 1 species
AGCAGUAAGGGAAUCUUCCACAAUGGGCGAAAGCCUGAUGGAGCAACGCCGCGUGUGUGAUGAAGGGUUCCGGCUCGUAAAACACUGUUGUAAGAGAAGAAUGACAUUGAGAGUAACUGUUCAAUGUGUGACGGUAUCUUACCAGAAAGGAACGGCUAAAUACGUGCCAG